UAAUGUAUCUUGCAUAUUCAUGAUCCUGGCACACUCACGGUCUCGAGGAAGCUAAUUUUUUUGUCUUUUCCAAUUUGUGCUUCCACUAGGCGGUUUACCAGUACCCCGGGCGUUUACAUUUACCGUCAGCAGGAAGGCAGCCGGCCAGAGGAAGGAUGGGUCAGUAUGUUCCUGUCCUUGGGUUCCACACAAACAGUACUUUAAAAGUAAAUAAUGAGCUUUAACAAAUGAACUUAGAGGGUAAUUUCCACCCUCUCUCAUCUCUGCUCUGAUGCUGCAGAGGUUUGCUGUGUGUUCUGCAUAUCUGGACAUGUUCAUAUACUAUCUGCCUGGACUCUUGUGUUUUCAACUUGUUUGGAAAAGGAGACCUGUGAAAGGAAACCUCUUUCUGAGUUCUUUUUGUACCCCCAGAUUUACUUUCCAGGCCCUCUCUGCUGCAACAUUUAAAACGAUUUAAUGAAAACUUGCUGAAAAUGUUUUGAAAUAUGGAAGCUUCAAGGACAUUCUUUAAAAGGGUAUCUGCCAAACUGGCCUAUAUACUGGCUUUUGUUGCUUUUCUGAACUGAGUGGGAAUGUGAGUCCCUGAAGAGAGGUCCCAAAGAGGGGGUGCUCCCCCAGCCCAUGGAGGAAGAAGGAAGGGGCAGCCUGAGUGCAGGUCCUGGGCAGAGACAAGAGGACAGGUCAUGGGUCUCCUGGAGGCCUUCUCCUUGUUGAUACCCCAGUGAUGCAUCAGCUUGAACUGUUGUUACUCAGUCACGGAUUCCUGCAGAAAGGGAGGUGUGGGACCCAAACUUGACCGUGUGGCCACAGUCAUGGCUUAGGAAUUCAACCAACUCCAUCUAACCACCAACCUGUGGUCAGACAAAUUAAAUCCAUGGAUUAGCCAAAAGGCUUCUGAAUAAAAGUUUUAGGUUGACCAUUU